rnacentral:rRNA from 1 species
CUAGCCGUAAACGAUGGAUACUAGGCGUUGAGAGGAUCGAUCCUCGCAGUGCCGUAGCUAACGCGUUAAGUAUCCCGCCUGGGGAGUACGCGCGCAAGCGUGAAACUCAAAGGAAUUGACGGGGGCCCGCACAAGCGGUGGAGUAUGUGGUUUAAUUCGAUGCAACGCGAAGAACCUUACCAGGGCUUGACAUGUCCGGAACCCUGCCCAAAGGUGGGGGUGCCUACGGGGGCCGGAACACAGGUGGUGC